CUGGGUUACGGACCUCUGCCUGCUCUGACCCUGAGCCUGCCUGCCUUUCUGUACCUUACUGACUCUGCCCUGGGUUGCGGACCUCUGCCUGCUCUGACCCUGAGCCUGCCUGCCUUUCUGUACCUUUCUGACUCUGCCCUGGGUUACGGACCUCUGCCUGCUCUGACCCUGAGCCUGCCUGCCUUUCUGUACCUUUCUGACUCUGCCCUGGGUUACGGACCUCUGCCUGCCCCCUGUUUUUGUCAAUAAACAUCUGUGAUUCUAACUGUCUGCUCUGGGUCUUAUGCUGGGUCGUGAGAGAGAGAAAAUGAUGGAGCUGAAGAAAGGUAUGGGAUUUUGACUGUUAGUGUGACAUGGAGAGAGAUCACAAUAGGAGAGAAAAGAGAGCUACAUGAAGAGUGGAAAGGGAAGAGGUUGACUGGAGUGCGAUGAUGAGAGAGAGAGAUACAUAAAGAGAGGAAGUAGAGGGAAAGGGAGGAGGUUGACUGGAGAGAGAUGAUGAGAGAGAUACAUAAUGAGAGGAUAUAGAGGGAAAGGGAGGAGGGUGACUGGAGAAUGAUGAGAGAGAGAUACAUGUAGAGGGAAAGGGGGGAGGUUGACUGGAGAACGAUGAUGAGAGAGAGAGACAUAAUAAGAAAAACUAGAGGGAAAGGGAGGAUGUUGACUUGAGUACGAUGAUGAGGAGAAGAAGAGAUGGUGCUAGCUCUUGAACUUGAGUGUUGAAAUGAGGCCUCACAGACAUGCCGGACAGAGGCUGGGGACCUGUUAACUGAAUGAUGUAAUAGUCUGGGGGCCUGUUAACUGAAUGGUGUAAUAGUCUGGGGGCCUGUUAACUGAAUGGUGUAAUAGUCUGGGGGCCUGUUAACUGAAUGGUGUAAUAGUCUGGGUGACCUGUUAACUGAAUGGUGUAAUAGUCUGGGGGCCUGUUAACUGAAUGGUGUAAUAGUCUGGGGGCCUGUUAACUGAAUGGUGUAAUAGUCUGGGGGCCUGUUAACUGAAUGGUUUAAUGACCGUGACUAGUGGCCUUAAAGGAGAGGUGGUGACUACAACCAUGACUAUUGACCUUAAAGGAGAGGUUGUGACUACAACCAUGACUAGAGACCUUAAAGGAGAGGUGGUGACUACAACCAUGACUAGUGACCUUAAAGGAGAGGUUGUGACUACAACCAUGACUAGUGACCUUAAAGGAGAGGUUGUGACUACAACCAUGACUAGAGACCUUAAAGGAGAGGUUGUGACUACAACCAUGACUAGUGACCUUAAAGGAGAGGUUGUGACUACAACCAUGACUAGAGACCUUAAAGGAGAGGUUGUGACUACAACCAUGACUAUUGACCUUAAAGGAGAGGUGGUGACUACAACCAUGACUAGUGACCUUAAAGGAGAGGUGGUGACUACAACCAUGACUAGAGACCUUAAAGGAGAGGUUGUGACUACAACCAUGACUAGUGACCUUAAAGGAGAGGUGGUGACUACAACCAUGACUAGUGACCUUAAAGGAGAGGUUGUGACUACAACCAUGACUAGUGACCUUAAAGGAGAGGUGGUGACUACAACCAUGACUAGUGACCUUAAAGGAGAGGUGGUGACUACAACCAUGACUAGUGACCUUAUAGGAGAGGUUGUGACUACAACCAUGACUAGAGACCUUAAAGGGGAGGUGGUGACUACAACAUCUUAGAGUGUCAUGGAUGACAUGGAAAAGAAGCAGAG
rnacentral:lncRNA from 1 species